GGAAAAGGUCGAGUUGUUGGUGGCUCUGGUAAGGGCUUUGGGUCGAGAUCCAUGGGUGACGCCAUUGUUAAAAGUGAAAAAAGCUACGGAAGUUGAUAUUGAGCAAAAGAGAAAGUGUAGAAGGAUUUCUUCAUAAUUUUUUGCUUUCAACAAAUCAGAUUGUUGACUUUUUUUUUGAUAUUUUUGUUCUUUUUUUUUUUAUACAUAUGAAUUCAAUUUUUAAUGUAUCUAGUUGUUUUUGUUUCUUAAAUUAAUGUGUAAUGCAUUCCUUUCAACAUUAUGAAACAUUACAAUUUUGUAUGUAUC
rnacentral:lncRNA from 1 species